rnacentral:lncRNA from 1 species
UGGCUUCUCUCAUUCUGUGUUUACAAGGACACAGAGUAUUAAUGUUGUCACCCUUCAUCAUUUUCCUGCAUAGCAGCUCAGCUCUGUGAACAGGAGAGUAACCGCAACGUCUGUCACAAUUCUUGCAGGACAGAUCGUGUGAAAGAGACCAGUUUGGUAUUAGUGUGAAUGAUUACAGAGCAAAACUAUUUUUUAUCGCAACUUGGAUUGUUUUCAAAAUGCAGCCUAGAAUUUGAUGUUUGUUUUUAUAUUAAAAAAAACCCUGUAAUUUUGUAACUAUUACAAAGGGUAGCCUAAUGUUUUUGAUAAAUCAGUGGCAACUAUAUUUUUUGUCUUUUGAACCUGUUCUGAAAACGUCAGGCCAACAUAGAUCGCAGCCUGAUGUCACAUGCGUUUUGUAUGCUGCAUUUUGUAUUCUGAGGCAUUAUUAGUUCUGCUUUCAAGAUUUCAAGUGUUUAAAAUAAUCCUAUCUAUGAAACUGAAGAAUGAAGCAGAUCUCUGAUUAGCAUAUACAGAAAGGCCCUUGUCAGGGUAUGUGGUGUAGAUGUGUACUUCUGAAUUCAGUAAAAUUGAUUCCUAAGUAUGCUAGCCCAAUCCCUUUGCUAAGUUGGUAAGAGAAGUAUAAGGUAUGUACUCAAUACCUCGUAUGUAACCAACAUUGUUUUGUUAGCUUAUAGGACUGAGAGUUUCAUGGUCAUCUGGCCGGCAGUCUGCCUGCGCUUGCAAUGAAGUCCUUAGCUGUUUAGUGUUUCAAACUGACGUUAUUUAUAAUCUAUGAAUUUAAUCUCUUUUUUUUUUAUUUUUUGCAAAGACAUCAAGAAUCUGGAAGGCAGCUUUCAGUUGCCAUGAGGGUGGGGGCUUUGUUGGGGAUCUUCAGUGAGAUCCCUUUUGAUCCAUGGGAAUAUGAAUGCACAGAGUACAUUUUGAUCUUGGUGGGAAGAGGCAAGUAGAAAGGUCAGAGACAAAGUCGCAUAGCCAGGGAACAUGGCGGAAAGGCCAGUUGAUGUGAAAUGAAGCAGAUGUGUCAGAACCCCCCAAAAACAAGGCAAGCAAGACGUGUGAGAAAGUGCCUCAAAGAGCAAAGCAACAGUUUUCUCUCAUCGCCUUUAUGCCAAAAGACACUGCAGUUAGGGAGAAGAGGGUUAGGGCGCACUUUACCGGGGAGGGGUAGGAGAGGGAGGGGUUGUGACACUGUCCAUGUAUUGCCAAACGUCUUGACAGACAAAAUCAUGGACUCUUGUGACUUCCAGCACUCUUAAAGUGAUUUCUCUUUUCCUGAAGGAACCCCAAUUUAUGUCCAAGUAAUUCCUUGUUUUCUCUGAGCACUCCGAGAGAGGCGCAAAGAUAUUUAUGUUGCUACUAGGUUGAAAGGGAGCACUCUUUCGUUUCCUCUUUUGUUAGCAAAAGUUGCAAAAAAGAGUUAUACAUUCUUUCUGAGGAAAACCAAAAACAAGCCAAAACACAAGGGACCUAACAAAGCUUGACAGUGUUACUGUAUUUAAAAAUAUUUUUAUAGAUGCAUUUCAGGUUAUUAAGUGUAAAAAAAAAGAUACUUUUUUUUUAAAAAAAAUUAGUUAAAUCAUCUAUGAUUUAUGUUACCAAGUUUUAGAAGCAAUUUUCUAGUAAGCUUGUGGCAUUAUGAAAUACUACAAUAAUUUUCUUAGUAAAUUAGUUUAAACCUUUUUAAUUAAUAUAGUAUUUUUCUAGAAUAAAAUAUGGCCCUUGACUGUUUACUAAUAGAUAAAGCCAGAUAUGAUUGUUGUUUUUUAAGAACAUAAAAUGUGGUUUGUUACAGAACACUAAAGCUAGAAAUCAGACCUUUUUUCCUAGUUCUGAGUGAACCCAAGACUUCAUGUGUGUCAGGCAAGUGCUCCCCAGUGGAGAAUCACCCCAGACCUCAGAGCAGUCUCUUAGUGGUUCUUUGGUAUUAUUAUAAGUAUUAAUAUUUUCUAAGAAUUCAUAAUAAGGUGCUAUUCAUAUACUAUAUCGUACUAUAAGCCAACUAUCAGACAAUCUAGUCUUCUUAGUCCUUAGUCAAUACAUUUUGCCAUGUCAUCUCCAAAUUUUGUCAUAGAAUAGACAAAUUUUUAAAAGUUUGAUUCAAAACACAUUUCUCUUGGUAAGAUACACUUUACUGAAGCAUUUGAAUAGCUAAACAUUCUGUCAUGUGUUAGCAGUAGGUGAUAUUUAGGCCGAGUUUCACUGUAGUAUCCAGGAUGUAAAAUGUAUUCCUGUGAUUGAUUUCUCGGUGUGUGAGAAGCACAUAAAACAGAAUAAGCCUCAGCCUCCUGGGCACUGUUCAGCAGAAAGGAAUCUGCAGAAGGUGACGUGAAUUGAUAGGCAUGUCACGGAGUACUGUGUUCUUAUGAUGUGAUUAGAAGCAACUUCUGAAAGUCCAACUUUCGUGGAACAAAACAAGCCAUUCAGAAAGGAAAACGGUUAAUUCAAAAUGGUGAUUGACGGAGACCCCUUCUGACACUGUAUAUGUGCUAAUACUUUAACUUAAUUUUUUCUUUUCUUUUUUUUAUUUCUACGUUUUACCAAGUGGGACCUGUGUUGUUGAUUUAUAAUCCAGUAUGUUCUACAUACAGGAAAUGUGCGGCCAAAUCCAUCAGAUCAAACCAUUUUAUCUGGAGUUUGGUACAGGUUUUACUUCGCAAUUCUAUAUAAAAAAUAAAUACGAUUGAACUUCAA